GUCACUUGUCCGCGCGCGGUGACACUCACUGAGCACGAGCACCAAACGCGUUCUCACACGAAAACUUACUGAACAAUGGCCUCAGAUUCGAUAGGUCACCGAUUUCGGCACAACACCGGGACACUGAGGAAAAGGAAUGCUGUAAGCUCCCAGUUCACGAGGACAUAGAAAACACAAGAGAUGAUGUCCAUAUGGACAGAAGCCUGUUCCAGUUCCACCUACACCACACCAGACUGAAAUCUACAGACUCUCCAGAUGAUGUCACUUGCAGCUUUAAGAGCAUGUUUAGAGCCCCUUUUUCACAGUUUCUUGGCCAGACAACUUUUCCUGGAUCUGGUACCACCAACGUUUUGUCUGCAAAACAUGUUAAUAUAGACCCCCAUUUUCUGUUGUGCAUUUAUGUUUACUACCCAAUACUAUCAAAAGAAGGUAGUUCAACGCUAACACUUACAAGCUAAAUUAGAGCUUCAAAUGUAUUUGAUUAAAAUACAUGACGUUUCAGCCACCUUCAAGGCCUUCUUCAGACAUCAAGAAGAUGUUGAACAAACAACAUUUAAAAGAACUUCCUCAAUUACAAACAGGUGUGUUCCACUAAUUGAAGGACUGGCUUUGAAAUAGCUGAAUAAUACGUUCUCCCACUCCAUCUAGUGACCAACAAAUACAAAGUCAUUAGUACCAAACAGGUGCGGCUGGUCUGUAUGGGCAGGAAUUAAUAUUCAUCCACCUGAAAACAUACACUGAAAAAAAAUUCUUUUGUGUUGAACUAAAUAUAGCAGAAAAGAUUAAGUAUUUUUUACAUUUAAUAAGUUAAAGUGUGAACUACUAUUAAGUCAUUCUACAUUUGUACUCAAUUCAAACGUAAAAAUUAAUGCUCUAGCUUAUAAGUAAAUAUUAUUCGUUUGUUUGUUAUUUUUACAAUGUGUCUUCAUAUAUGAAUCCUAAAGGAGAAAAUCUUGUCAUAUUUAUUUGAUUAUUUGAGUACAUUUCCCAAGUAAAUAAAAUAAGUAACUUUUACUUAACUUUUAGAAGCUGGUGUUCCCAGCAUGCACCAGGCUUGAAUAAUUGAUGAGCUUGCGUAGUUUCACUGUUUGCAAAUCGAUUUACACCAAUUUUAUUGUUGAUUUUGUUGUUAUGUUUGGUAACUUCUUGUUUUUUGAAGUUUGUUUCAUUUUCUUUUACUCAAAAUUAUUUGUCAAUUAAAAAAAAUACAAAUAAAUAAUUAUCUGUU